UAAAAAAUUUUGGCGGUAUUUUAAGCUUAUUAGAGGAAUUUGCUCUGUGAUGGACACAACGCCUUAAUCUUACUUAAUUUAGUAAUUUAAAUCAGUUUGUAUACCACUAUAUUAAUUAUAUUGAAUAGUUAUAUUUAAAAUUUUUUUUAAAAAAUAUAUUAAGUCAAGGUGCAUCUAAUAAUUAUGAAUGAAGUGAAUUACAUUAAUUUUAAUGUAAUUUUUUACAUGAAAAAAUUAAUUAGGAUUUAAUAGUAAAAUACUAAUAUUAUGAGUAUUUGAAUCAAGCUCUAAAAUAUGCACAUAUCGCCCGUCGCUCUCAGAAGUGAGAUAAGUCGUAACAAAGUAAAAAUACUGGAAAGUGUUUUUUAAAAUGAAAUCAUUUGAUGUUUCAUUUACAAUGAAAAUUUUGUUGUUUAACCAUUUUAA
rnacentral:rRNA from 1 species